rfam:Oryza brachyantha chromosome 2, whole genome shotgun sequence.
UUGACAGAAGAGAGUGAGCACACGGGGUGAUAGCCGGCAUAAUAUCUAUCCCGUCCUCGCCGCGUGCUCACUCCUCUUUCUGUCAC